GUAACAAGGUUUCCGUAGGUGAACCUGCGGAAGGAUCAUUGUCGUUGCCUUCAAACAUGACCGGUGAACACGUAACCUAAAUAUCGGGGAGGGUCAUCCUCCUCGACCCCACCGGACCUGGCCAUCUGGUUGGGUUCGGGAAUACGGCGCGGAAUGUCGCCAAGGAACACUGAUUUGCCUGGUAGACGACAUUAUGUCGAUACUGCUAAGGCCACAAAAACUAUAUGACUCUCGGCAACGGAUAUCUCGGCUCUCGCAUCGAUGAAGAACGUAGCGAAAUGCGAUACGUGGUGUGAAUUGCAGAAUCCCGUGAACCAUCGAGUCUUUGAACGCAAGUUGCGCCCGAGGGACCCUCCCGAGGGCACGCCUGCCUGGGCGUUAGAAGCCCAUCAACGCUCGGUCACCCCUUCACGUACUGUGGCAGGGGACUUGACCAGAUGCGGAGGUUGGCUCUCCGAGUCGUAAAAGAUGCGGUGGGCUCAAGUGCAUGGCCGUUGACGGUGUCGGGAGCGGCGAGUGGUGGGCUACAGCGCACGCCAACCCCUGACACUUGAGAUGACAUAUGGCCCUUUUGGACCCCAUAACAAGAAGCUUGUCGUUACAGCGCCUCGCUGUGCGGCAUCUUCGGACCGAUACCCCAGGUCAGGCGGGGCUACCCG
rnacentral:sRNA from 1 species